UUAUAUUUAAUUAAUAAUAUUAAAUUGCAAAUUUGAAGUAGACCAAGAUCUAAGGCUU
rnacentral:tRNA from 1 species